rnacentral:rRNA from 1 species
CAGCCAGACUCCUACGGGAGGCAGCAGUGGGGAAUAUUGCACAAUGGGGGAAACCCUGAUGCAGCGACGCCGCGUGAAGGAAGAAGUAUCUCGGUAUGUAAACUUCUAUCGGCAGGGAAGAAAACGGACGGUACCUGACUAAGAAGCCCCGGCUAACUACGUGCCAGCAGCCGCGGUAAUACGUAGGGGGCGAGCGUUAUCCGGAUUUACUGGGUGUAAAGGGAGCGUAGACGGCUGGGCAAGCCUGAUGUGAAAGGCGGGGGCGCAACCCUCGGACUGCAUUGGGAACUGUCCGGCUGGAGCGCCGGAGGGGUAAGCGGAAUUCCUGGUGUAGCGGUGAAAUGCGUAGAUAUCAGGAGGAACACCGGUGGCGAAGGCGGCUUACUGGACGGCGACUGACGUUGAUGCUCGAAAGCGUGGGGAGCGAACAGGAUUAGAUACCCGUGUA